rnacentral:rRNA from 1 species
AGAGUUUGAUUCCGGCUCAGGAUGAACCCUGAACGAAUGCUUAACACAUGCCAGUUCAUGGGGAAGGGCGAACCUCGCUUAACCGGUAACCAUGGCCGAAGGGUGAAUAACCCGUAAGGAACUUACCUGCCGGACCGGGAUAACCGAAGGAAACUUUUGACCAGACCGGAUAAAGUUACUGGGCAGCAUUGUUUGGUAAUGAAAGGAGAACCCUGCGGAAAGUCUUGCGUCCUAUUAGCUAGUUUGGUCGGGUAACGGCUGACCAAGGCGAAGAUAGGUAGCCGGCCUGAGAGGGUGGACGGCCACAAGGGGACUGAGAUACGGCCCUUACUCCUACGGGAGGCAGCAGUGGGGAAUAUUGGACAAUGGGGGCAACCCUGAUCCAGCAAUUCUGUGUGCACGAAGAAGGUUUUCGGAUUGUAAAGUGCUUUCAGCAGGGAAGAAGGAAGUGACGGUACCUGCAGAAGAAGCGACGGCUAAAUACGUGCCAGCAGCCGCGGUAAUACGUAUGUCGCGAGCGUUAUCCGGAAUUAUUGGGCAUAAAGGGCAUCUAGGCGGCCUGACAAGUCAGGGGUGAAAACCUGCGGCUCAACCGCAGGCCUGCCUUUGAAACUGUAAGGCUGGAGUACCGGAGAGGUGGACGGAACUGCACGAGUAGAGGUGAAAUUCGUAGAUAUGUGCAGGAAUGCCGAUGAUGAAGAUAGUCCACUGGACGGAAACUGACGCUGAAGUGCGAAAGCCGGGGGAGCGAACAGGAUUAGAUACCCUGGUAGUCCCGGCCGUAAACGAUGAUUACUGGGUGUGGGCAGGAAGACUGUCUGUGCCGAAGCGAAUGCGAUAAGUAAUCCGCCUGGGGAGUACGGCCGCAAGGCUGAAACUCAAAGGAAUUGACGGGGACCCGCACAAGCGGUGGAGCAUGUGGUUUAAUUCGACGCAACGCGAGGAACCUUACCAGAUCUUGACAUCCUACGAAUGCCCAUGAGGAUGGGCAGUGCCUUCGGGAACGUAGAGACAGGUGGUGCAUGGCUGUCGACAGCUCGUGUCGUGAGAUGUUGGGUUAAGUCCCGCAACGAGCGCAACCCUUUUUGCUAGUUACCAUCAUUAAGUUGGGGACUCUAGCGAGACUGCCUGCGAAGAGCAGGAGGAAGGUGGGGAUGACGUCAAGUCAUCAUGCCCCUUAUGAUCUGGGCUACACACGUGCUACAAUGGGCUGUACAGAGAGGAGCGAGGUGGUGACACGGAGCGAAUCUUGAAAGCAGUUCGAAGUUCGGAUUGAAGUCUGCAAACUCGACUUCAUGAAGUUGGAAUCGCUAGUAAUCGCGGAAUCAGCAAUGCCGCGGUGAAUACGUUCUCGGG